AUCCAGCUGCAGGUUCCCCUACAGCUACCUUGUUACGACUUCACACCAUUUACUAAUCUUAUAUUCGGCUUUCUUUUUAGAAAAAAAUCAUACGUCUCUCAUCAAGAUUGAAAAAGAUUAAAAAAAAAAAAGAGAAGACUUCCUACACUAUCAAUUCACAGUGUGUGACGGGCGGUGAGUACAAGGCUCAGGUACAAAUUCACCGUAGCGUGCUGAUCUACGAUUACUAGUGAUUCCGGCUUCAUGUUCUCGAGUUGCAGAGAACAAUCUGAACUAAGGUGAGUUUUUUGAGAUUUGCUCCGACUCUCAUCAUUGCUUCUCUUUGUCCUCACCAUUGUAACACGUGUGUAGCCCAGCCCAUAAGGGUCAUGAGGACUUGACGUGAUCCCUCCCUUCCUCUAGUCUAUCACCAGCUGUAUUUCCAUUUAAAAACUCAAAAAAAUUGAAUUUUUGAAUGAAAAGAGGGGUUUCGUUCGUUAAGGAAAUUAAUCCAACAUUUCACAACACGAACUGACGACAGCCAUGCAACACCUGUAAUCUUUACUCAAAUAAAUUUUUAUUUGGUUAUCUCAGGAUAACCUGAGAUUGUCAAAAGAUUAUGUCAAGGACUGGUAAGGUUUUGCGCGUUGUUUCGAAUUAAACCACAUGUUCCACCACUUGUGUGAGCCCCCGUCUAUUCCUUUGAGUUUUAGUCUUGCGACCGUACUCCUCAGGCGGACCUUUUUACGCGUUAGCUAAUACAAACGGUAAAACGAUCCACGCAAAUGAGUAAUUUCUUACUCAAGCACUUCCCUUUUUUUAUCUCUUUUUUU
rnacentral:rRNA from 1 species